rnacentral:rRNA from 1 species
UACGGAGGGGGCUAGCGUUGUUCGGAAUUACUGGGCGUAAAGCGCACGUAGGCGGAUGUGUCAGUCAGGGGUGAAAUCCCGGAGCUCAACUUCGGAACUGCCUUUGAUACAGCACGUCUUGAGUCCGAUAGAGGUGGGUGGAAUUCCUAGUGUAGAGGUGAAAUUCGUAGAUAUUAGGAAGAACACCGGUGGCGAAGGCGGCUUCCUGGACCGAGAUUGACGCUGAGGCGCGAAAGCUAGGGGAGCAAACGGG